AUACCACCAGUUCCAGGCCUGUUGUUAGGAAAUCCAGUAGGGCUAAGUCCCCCUAAAGAACCACCAUCACGGCUAUUUCUCAUGCUUGCAGUUGCACCAGGGCGCAGCCCAAGAUUCUUUUCUGCCUCGCUAUGGAUUUCACUAAUGGUUUUGGCUUUUACCUGCCAAAGAAGAAACCAUCAAUUCUUGAGAAAAUUAUAUCAAGUUUUCUCAGUUUCUUUAGCAGAACUCAGUCUAGUUAAUCUAUCAACUUAAUUUAAAUUUCAAAAGAAUAAAGUCUGAAAUCCAUGAUAGGAACCAGGUUACAGCUUACUUCUUCACGACGAGGGACCCAGUUGUUUGAACGCAGGUCAAGCACAUUACGAACCAUAAAUCUUAGACGUGGUGCAAGUUGAGGAUUGGAAGUUAGUUCCUU
rnacentral:lncRNA from 1 species